CUAGCUAUUGCUGUAGCUGGUACUAGUCUGUACAUAUUUUACAUAGGCUAGUCUAACCAUAGCUCACUGACUUAUAUGCUACUCUUCGUGUGAUAAUCAGGAGGACACUAGUUAUUUUAACGUCCCUAUUGAACGAUUGAAUUAUACGUAAUUUGAGUUAAAUGUGUAGCGUACAAAAUAUUAAAACUUGGUCGAGCUCCGUUAACGUUAGUGCGCUCGUUUGUCGCCGGGUAAGGGCCCAGAACCACGUGGGUUUAUACUUUGGUGACCUAGUAACUGAGUAGUUGCAUACAACUACACGUAAUACCACUAUAACCAUUGCUGGUCUUUCAAUGAUGAUAACUUUGUCCAGUUCUGCUACUGAAUAAUAGUGAACGAUAUUUGUGACUCUGAGAAAGACCUUGGUUUUACCACGAUAAUAUAGUCUGUUAAAUUAGCCUACCGUGGCGCUGGCGUACACUAACUAGUACGCUAGAUACACUAACUAGUUGGCUUGGAUGUUUCCUUUGAACCAAUCAUUGAUUGAAUGCGCGAAAUAUGGUGACCAAAUCGAAGCAUGGCAGAGUUUAAACGCCAAUGUUAAGAGAGAACCUUAAUCUCAAAAGUAGUUUUCUCCCUCUGAAUGCGAAUUUGGCGUGUUUAAAUCUUUUGCAUCCUGUUUGGUGUAGUCUUGUUUCUUAUUCUGUUGCUUCUGUGCUUAAACCAGCCCUUUUGUCUAACUAGUGUUUUGUUCCAGGUAUUUUGAUGGUGUCAUGAAGCUGGCUUUUCUUCUGAAUACUGGUCGGCCAGAGGAUGCUACUGAACUUUGUACUGCGUUGAGGGCAUGUCACAUCAAGUGGUGUCUGGGCUAGGUUCUCAUGUGACCUGAGCCUACCACAGGACUCCUCCCACUCACUGCCCUCAGGUUUGUUGAGGAUUUCAGUGAAGAGAAGAUGAAGUCUCUGAGACUGAUUCACCCAGAGUGGUGACUUCAUCAGGCUGCAUGUCCAUGACCAGACUGGUUGAUGGUUGCAGGGAGAUGGCCUCACCGUUAGCACUGCAGAUUCUUGCCUGCUCCCUAAACAUCAGGUGUCCAGUGUCGUACUUUUCCUUACAUUCUAUUCAACACGAAAGGACUUCACUUAAUUGACAUCAGCUGUAUGGUUUCUCCAGUGUGAAUCAUCUGAUAAAAAGAUUUUCCAUCGAGUGGUUCCUUUUUAAUUUGCUGUUGUAACUUUUACCACUUAUAGUUCUCAUCCCCAAUGCCACUCAUUUAAGCUGGUUCCAUUAAACAUGGCCAUUACUUAAAUUAUAUCCAGAGGUCCCCAGGUCUCAAUUCCAAUUGAGCUCAUUUAGAUUGUGGAGGAACGGGAGGUCUGCAACAAAUGUGUAAAUCUUCAAGAAACUGUGAUUCAUUGUGUUAGCUUGGGCUAAAAUCUAUACACGUUUCCACCUUGUUACUCCUGUUCAUUCAGGUCUAAACUGGUGGAUUUUUAUGCAGGCAUGUUCAGAUUUUUACUUAAUUCCAUUUCGAUUUGUCCAAUUUCCCACUAACCUUCCCUGACAGUGCAGCUGGUGGCAGCAGUAAGGCCUCUCUCCUGUGUGAACUCUCUGAUUUAUGGUUAUGCUUUUAGUUCUGGUAUCAUGCACAGCCUUAAUGUGUCACGGUUGUAUUCUCAUCACCUCUCCCUGGCAACAGGGACCUAAUGGUUCUACUUCACUUGUGAUUUUGAAAGUUCAAUAAAGUUGAGUCAAUUUUCUCAUUUGAUCUUAUUCUGUAAUGAAAUACUAAACGUGUGAAUUAAAAUCUUCCAAUGUC
ensembl:lncRNA